UAGAGAAAUCUGUCCGAAGAGCGAAUCACGUGACAUUUGUGUUGCGCGUGAACUCGUGUUCACUCUCAGUCAGUUGUAGGUAGUCGUUGGCGGACAAGGGAGGACAAAGAACGAACACAGGAAGGAAGCUGGGGAGCCAGAGACUCUGUAUUCCCAUGGAAAUGUGAAAUGGUGCCAGUCCUUUAGUAGGGACAGUGAGGGAGCCAACACGGUGCAAGUCCUGUAUUUCCAUGCCUUCAAUCUUCUAGACCUCUACUGCUGGUGUCUAAAUCUGUUCAUAAGUAUAUUCUCUUUAAGUUUUGGCUGAGACAGUGUUUGGAGAGACUGGCAAAAAUGACUGAUGAAUAAAACUACAACACCACCAAUUAAGCAACAUCAGAUCAGAUCAGCUAACUCGGAUGCUGAACUACCAGUAGUUGCUGGAAAUGUGGGACAGAGUUAGCAUUUAAUAACUUCCAGCUGGAUCUUGUCUGGAACUUUCUGGAGUUCAUUUGAACCACAUCUGUACAGUCAGCUCUAUAAUUCAGAUCUGUCAUAGGGUUCAUGGAGGUCAUAGCCAACAUAAUACAGAUGCCUCUGUUUCAAGAUUCAUUCCUGCAAACCAAGACCAAACUGAUGGAUAAAAUAUCGGCUAAUUCAUUUGUGUCCCUUGCUUGAAGUUGCUUCCCAUGGAAUUUUUUCACAAAGUCAUUGACUGUCAACGUGGCAUGAAGACGGAAUGCACUGAUCAGACCCGAGUUUCUCGCUGUUUCCUGGCAGCCAAUGGAAGAGCCGAGAAUACCAGUGCGGGUCAAGUGUUGAAUUUUCCACAAAAUAGCGAGUCAAGUGUUGAAUUUUCCACAAAAUAGCACAGACUCCGAGCAUUGUUUCUCUCUGGUCAGAAAAAAAAAUCAGAGAAAUAACAUGUCACUGAUAUAUUCCUGUCUGUUAGUAAUGAUUGAUCGCAGACUGAAUGCUACCAUGGGUCUACUGGCAAGCUGGAAAGGUACAAAGAUAAAGAUAAUUUAUUAAACUUACUGAACAGGACAUUGGAGAAUAUUCAGUUGUGAAAGUGAAAUAGACAUUAAAAAUAUUAAGAUCAAGUGCAAAUUUGAUGGUUCAUGAUUGACAUUAACACUUAAUGAAUGUAACAUUAAAGGAUGUUCAAGUGUGACAGUGAAAUAGGCAUUAAACAUUAAAGAUCAAGUUGUGGUUUAAGAUAAAAUACUGAAAAGAUCAACACCAGGAUGUUCACAAUAAUGUUACAAUUUAUUUUAUGACAUUUAGAACCCUAGCAUUAAUAUGAAUUUUGAUAUUGUACUUACCAACUUUCUCUCUUUGCUCCAUCGUGCACACAUGAGACAUUGUAAUUGACAAGAUCCUUAGUUAGCUUUCAGCGUCUUCUAACAAUUUUGGCCUAAAGACAGCUGAAACAUCAGUUAGUUGAUCAAUGGUCAAUGGCAAAAUAACACCAGUUGAGUUAUUUUCGACUCUGUAUGUACGCUCACAACCAAGGCACUCAAAACCAAGGCAGUCUUUGUAUUAAAAUUUGAAGUGUUGUUUUCUUUAUUAUGCCCCCCUUCGAAGAAGGAGGGGUAUAUUGUUUUGCAGAUGUCGGUCGGUCGGUCGGAAUGUAGACCAAUCCGUUUCCGGAUGAUAACUCAAGAACGCUUGGGCCUAGGAUCAUGAAAGUUGAUAGGGAGGUUGGUCAUGACCAGCAGAUGACCCCUAUUGAUUUUGAGGUCAGUAUGUCAAAGGUCAAGGACACAGUGACCAGGAACAGGAAAAUGGUUUCCGGGCAAUAACUCAAGAACGCUUGGGUCUAGUCUCAGGAAAAUUGAUAUGAGGUUGGUCAUGACCAGCUGAUGACCCCUAUUAAUUUUGAGGUCAUUAGGUCAAAGGUCAAGGUCACAUUGGCCAGGAACAGUUAAACGGUUUCUGAUCUUUUUGUCCAAAACCACAGGGCCUAGGGCUUUGAUAUUUGGUAUGUAGCAAAAUCUAAUGGUCCUCUACCAAGAUUGUUCAGAUUAUUUCCCUGGGGUCAAAUAUGGCCCCACCCCGGGGGUCACAUGGUUUAUAUAGAAUUAUAUAGGGAAAAACUUUGAAAAACCUCUUGUCCAAAACCACAGGGCCUAGGGCUUUGAUAUUUUGCAUGUGACAUCAUCUAGUGGUCUUCUACUAAGAUUGUUCAAAUUAUCCCCCUAGGGUCAAAUAUGGCCCCGCCCUGGGGGUCACAUGGUUUAUAUAGACUUAUAUAGGGAAAACUUUGAAAAUCUUCUUGUCCAAACCACAAAGUCUAGGGCUUCAAUAUUUGUAAUAUAGCAUCAUCUAGUGGUUCUCUACCAAGUUUGUUCAAAUUAUCCCCCUAGGGUCAAAUAUGGCCCCGCCCCUGGGGUCACAUGGUACAUAAAGACUUAGAAUCUUCAUGUCCAUAACCUACAUCAUUCAAAUUUGGACCACAUGUAUAGUUUUGAGUGGCAAGAUGAAGCUUGACAUGAGUUGACCUUGAUCAUGACCUAGUGACCUACUUUCACAUUUCUGUAGCUACAGCCUUCAAAUUUGGACCACAUGCAUAGGUUUGUGUACCGAAACAAACUUUGACCUUGUUAUUGACCUAGUGACUUACUUUAGCAUUUUUGAAGCUACAGACUUCAAAUUUGGACCACAUGCUUAGUUUUGUGUUCCGAAAUAAAAUAAGACCUUGAUUUUGACCAAGUGAUCUUUUUUUCACAUUUCUCAAGCUACAGCCUUCAAAUUUGAACCACAAGCAUAGUUUUGUGUACCGAAAUGAACUUUGAUCUUGAGAUUGACCUAGUGACCUACUUUCACAUUUCUGAAGGUAUAGGCUUCAAAUUUGGACCACGCGCACAGUUUUGUGUUUCGAAAUAAAAUUUGACCUUGAUUUUGACCAAGUGACCUACUUUCACAUUUCUCAAGCUACAGCCUUCAAAUUUGAAACCCAUGCAUAGUUUUGUGUACCGAAAUGAACUUUGAUCUUGAGAUUGACCUAGUGACCUACUUUCACAUUUCUGAAGCUACAGCUUCAAAUUUUGACCGCAUGCAUAUUUUUGUGUUCUGAAUUGAAAUUUGACAUUGAAUUUUACCUAUUACCUACUUUCACAUUUCUCAAGCUACAGCCUCCAAAUUUGAAGCACAUGCAUAGUUCUGUCUACCAAAAUUAACUUUGACCUUGAAAUUGAUCUAGUGACCUACUUUCACAUUUCUCAAGCCACAGCUUUCAAAUUUGGACCACAUGCACAGUGUUUUGUACCGAUAUGAAAUUUGACCUUGAUUUUGACCUUGAGCUAGUCUUGAAAUUUGGAACAUUCAAAAAUGGCUCAGUGGUGGACGCCAAGAUCACUCUUUGAUCUCUUGUUAGGUUAAUAGGUUAAAGGUCAAGGUCAGAUUGAACCAGAACGGUAGAACUUUUGUUUACAGUAAGCAUAUAAUUUCUGUUCCCUUGUGCAAUUACUGAAUGCAUCAAGGGGGGCAUUUCGUGUUCGACAAGCUCUUGUUGUAUUUGUCACUGACCUUAAUCUUUGCUCCAUCAUGCACCUGGUUUUGAAACAUUACCCUAUGACAUGCUAAAUGCCACCAAUUCUGGUGAGUAAAAGCACUUUUCCUUUUUAUAUGCCCGUCUGAACGUAUGGUGUAUUAUGUGAACACCUGUGGUGGGCGGGCAGCAUCCACAGCAUGUUCGCUCUUUAAGUGGGUUAUCAUCCGAUCUUCACCGAACUUCCUGACAAUGUUUGUGGGCAUAAUAUCUCGGCCAAAUUAAGCAUUAGGCCAAGUUAGAUGACGGGCGUAUUUUGUGAUAGUCUGGAACUCUUGUUUCUUGAAACUGUCGUUGAAUAAGGACAAACUCAUUCAUUAGUUCAUAGUGCAUUUGAUCCAAUAAUAAAAACAAGAAUCGCCAAUCCAUAA